rnacentral:rRNA from 1 species
AGUGGGGAAUAUUGGACAAUGGGCGCAAGCCUGAUCCAGCCAUGCCGCGUGAGUGAUGAAGGCCCUAGGGUUGUAAAGCUCUUUCGGCGGGGACGAUAAUGACGGUACCCGCAGAAGAAGCCCCGGCUAACUUCGUGCCAGCAGCCGCGGUAAUACGAAGGGGGCUAGCGUUGUUCGGAAUCACUGGGCGUAAAGCGCAUGCAGGCGGAUCGUUAAGUCGGGGGUGAAAGCCCGAGGCUCAACCUCGGAACUGCCUUCGAUACUGGCGAUCUUGAGUCCGGGAGAGGUGAGUGGAAUUGCGAGUGUAGAGGUGAAAUUCGUAGAUAUUCGCAAGAACACCAGUGGCGAAGGCGGCUCACUGGCCCGGUACUGACGCUGAGAUGCGAAAGCGUGGGGAGCAAA